UACGUAGGUGGCAAGCGUUGUCCGGAAUUAUUGGGCGUAAAGCGCGCGCAGGCGGUCCUUUAAGUCUGAUGUGAAAGCCCACGGCUCAACCGUGGAGGGUCAUUGGAAACUGGGGGACUUGAGUACAGAAGAGAAGAGUGGAAUUCCACGUGUAGCGGUGAAAUGCGUAGAGAUGUGGAGGAACACCAGUGGCGAAGGCGACUCUUUGGGAUGAUGCUGACGCUGAGGCGCGAAAGCCAGGGGAGCAAACGGG
rnacentral:rRNA from 1 species